rnacentral:rRNA from 1 species
GCUUGGUGCCUUCGGGAACUCUGAGACAGGUGCUGCAUGGCUGUCGUCAGCUCGUGUUGUGAAAUGUUGGGUUAGGUCCCGNAACGAGCGCAACCCUUAUCCUUUGUUGCCAGCGGUUCGGCCGGGAACUCAAAGGAGACUGCCGGUGAUAAACCGGAGGAAGGUGGGGAUGACGUCAAGUCAUCAUGGCCCUUACGGCCAGGGCUACACACGUGCUACAAUGGCGCAUACAAAGAGAAGCGACCUCGCGAGAGCAAGCGGACCUCAUAAAGUGCGUCGUAGUCCGGAUUGGAGUCUGCAACUCGACUCCAUGAAGUCGGAAUCGCUAGUAAUCGUAGAUCAGAAUGCUACGGUGAAUACGUUCCCGGGCCUUGUACACACCGCCCGUCACACCAUGGGAGUGGGUUGCAAAAGAAGUAGGUAGCUUAACCUUCGGGAGGGCGCUUACCACUUUGUGAUUCAUGACUGGGGUGAAGUCGUAACAAGGUAGGCGUAGCGAG